UAUAAAUAAACGGACGCGAUCGUAAGAGUUACCAGUUCAGUUAUCUAUCAGUUAUCAGUUAGUCGCGCGAAUCAGUAUCUACGAGUAUCUAUCGCGUAUUGAUCAGUUAUCAAUUAGUUAUUAGCGAUCUUACGAGCGAUUUACAUUGUCUUUAGCGAAUCCGUACGAGCGUCUCAGCGAAUAGUCUCUGUAUAUUUAUUUAUUUAUUAUCUUAAAUAUACUUGACGGUUUCAACAACGAGCAAUCUUGUCUUAUAAAUCUCACGAUCAACCAUCCUCUACACAAGGCCUCUACAAAUUAUCGUAGCUGUGAAAGGGAAAUUUAGCUAACGGAAAGGCACGAAAUCGAUCCACGUUCUCGCCACUCCAUCUCGCUUCAUCAUCGCGGGACCUUUUUAUCGUGCGACACGGAGAUCAUAAAAAUAUAACAAGACCGUUGCAGCCGGUUUUUCAUCAUGACAUCGCCCAUCCUAUUUCGCAAGUUGCAUCAGCAGCCACCGCUACGGUCGCCGUCUCGUAAAAGCAACGAAAUAAUAAAGGUACCCCAAAGGGCAACGACAGUGACAGAGAGACGUGAAAUAGAUAAAUUCUCGCUACGACAAAGCGGAACAUUUCGUACUCUGGUUUACUAGCAAAAUGAAAAAGAGAAGCAACCAAAAAGAUCUGCGAAUCGACGAUCGAAUUUUCUAACGUUCUAACGUUCUACGCGAAAGCGAAUAUGAUCAAAUGUUUUUAUAUGAAAUAAAAAAAUUCAUACAA